rnacentral:tRNA from 1 species
AGGCUGUUAGCUCAACUUGGUCAGAGCAUCUGACUGAUACUCAGAAGGUUCCCAGUUCAAAUCUGGGGCAGCCUA